rnacentral:rRNA from 1 species
GAUCAUGGCUCAGGACGAACGCUGGCGGCGUGCCUAACACAUGCAAGUCGAACGAGAUCCAUGGGAGCUUGCUCCCGAAAGAUCUAGUGGCGAACGGGUGAGUAACACGUGAGAAACCUGCCCUGGAGUGGGGAAUAACUCGGGGAAACUCGAGCUAAUACCGCAUACCCUCGGAUGGUCGCAUGGCCGACCGAGGAAAGAUUUAUCGCUCUAGGAGGGUCUCGCGGCCUAUCAGCUAGUUGGUGGGUAACGGCCUACCAAGGCAACGACGGGUAGCUGGUUUGAGAGAACGAUCAGCCACACUGGGACUGAGACACGGCCCAGACUCCUACGGGAGGCAGCAGUGGGGAAUCUUGCGCAAUGGGCGAAAGCCUGACGCAGCAACGCCGCGUGCGGGAUGACGGCCUUCGUGGUUGUAAACCGCUUUCAGCAGGGACGAAAAUGACGGUACCUGCAGAAGAAGCCCCGGCUAACUACGUG